AGAAACUGGGCGGUCGGAGCAUGGUCACUGCCCGCGGUGCACCAGGAACCUCGCGUGGAGUGGGCAGUAUCCAUAUGCGGCGUGGUCAAAGCCUCACCUGAAACACAAGCCUAGCACUUGCUAGUUUUAUUGACAUCUCUUGGUGCUGCCCCUUCAAAUGACUUGACUGUCAUUUUGGGAUUUGGGCAGCAGAAGAGAGAAGCUCAUACACUCCUGAUUGGCUGUCCUCUGUGCUCGGACGCAGCCCACACGCAGAUGCCUCCUCCCCAUUCCGGGCCCUGCAGGCGGCUCCUCCUGCGGGACUGCGCAUGAAGCUCAGUUAAUGACAAGGUCCCCGCGCCUUUGUGAGCAUGUCCUCUGCGGCUUCUGCAUGUGCUCAGUAAGCGAGCAAAUAAAAGGAAGGGGUGCAGUCAGAGGCCUCUGGGCACCGGAGCCACACCCUCCCACGGCGUGAGGAGUCCGGAGGCGAGCACACAGCUUUAACACCUAUUGAGGUUUCAUCAUCAAAGCAGAGAUUCGGCCUUUUUUGGUGACAGCAGUUGACCCUUAAUCAACAACCAGCCGUCAGAAAGCGCUACCUUAUCACCCACCCACUCACGCUGCAGUCAGAGGGCUCAGGGCCUUCAUGAGACCCCCACUGCUCACUGCCUGGCCCUUCAGUCUCGGGACAUACCUGGUUUCCGGUGAUGCAUUAGAACCUGAUGACUUGUUCUGAAUAUUUUCUUUAAAAAGAAACAUUUCCUCUAAAAAUGUGAGAACAGUAUUAUAGUAUGUAUUCAUGUACUUAUUUUGUCAUUGGUGUGCACUUCAAUUUUUAGAAUUUAAAAAUUUUCAUUUAUAUUUUUAAAACCUUUAGAAAGUAUUUUCAUCAGCAAAACUUGGUUUAUAACCAACCUUUCAGAGGCAUCUAUUUUUUUAAAGUAAAACAUCCCCGUGUGCAAAACAAAAAUAUGUGUGUUCCCCUAGUGUUUCCGUACAGUGUCUGUACAGGUCUGAACGCCAUGACAAAGAAGCAGUGUCAUCUGUUUUCACCUAGACAGCCACAUUGCUCCUCCAAUAUUGCAGUCAAAUAGAAUAAAAAACUGUAGAGGUCACAAAAUAGAGUAGAAAUACCUGGGACUGUAGUAAAAAGCCCAACGUUCAAAUGUGGGUUUGAUCACAAUGUGUGACAUCAAGAAGUCUCUGAACUAUUUGUCCCUUGUGCUUUUCAUCUGUGACAUGAUUUAAGCAGUAUUUGUAUGACUUGCCUUUGUUGGGUAGUUACUGAGACCAAACAACAUAUCAGAAAAAAUGUUUUAAGCUGUAAUAUUGUACAAAUUAUUUGAUAACUCUGUGAAGGUAACCUAAGAUUUUAUCACUAAUAUGUUAUCCUGACUGUAAAAACCAAUUAAACCUUAUCAAAUAUUUAGUUUUGCAAAUUAUCCUAAAAGCACAAGUAUACAUUCAUUCAGGGGACCCUAAGCCUCCAAGACUUACACAAAUGCCGAGGAGCCCCCAUUCUGUCCCCCUGGGGGUGCACAUCCUUAGUAAAAAGCAGUGAUUCCAUUAAAAUUCAGGAGUGUGCUGUGCAUGUUGGAUACACAGUAGUUCCCACCACAGAUCUGGUGGUGUCUUCAAAGCUGAUUAAAAUUAGUAUAUUCUCA